GACGAACGCUGGCGGCGUGCUUAACACAUGCCAGUCGAACGGAAAGGCCCUGCUUUUGUGGGGUGCUCGAGUGGCGAACGGGUGAGUAACACGUGAGUAACCUGCCCUUGACUUUGGGAUAACUUCAGGAAACUGGGGCUAAUACCGGAUAGGAGCUCCUGCUGCAUGGUGGGGGUUGGAAAGUUUCGGCGGUUGGGGAUGGACUCGCGGCUUAUCAGCUUGUUGGUGGGGUAGUGGCUUACCAAGGUUUUGACGGGUAGCCGGCCUGAGAGGGUGACCGGCCACAUUGGGACUGAGAUACGGCCCAGACUCCUACGGGAGGCAGCAGUGGGGAAUAUUGCACAAUGGGCGGAAGCCUGAUGCAGCAACGCCGCGUGCGGGAUGACGGCCUUCGGGUUGUAAACCGCUUUCGCCUGUGACGAAGCGUGAGUGACGGUAAUGGGUAAAGAAGCACCGGCUAACUACGUG
rnacentral:rRNA from 1 species